rnacentral:lncRNA from 10 species
AGCAGGAUGUGGGUGGGGCCAGAUAAGAGAAUAAAAGCAGGCUGCCCCAGCCAGCAGUGGCAACUCGCUGGGGUCCCCUUCCACCCUUUGAAAACUUUGUUCUUUGGUUCUUUGCAAUAAAUGUUGCUGCUGCUCACUCUUCGGGUCUGCACUGGCUUUAUGAGCUGUAACACUCACUGCGAAGGUCUGCAGCUUCACUCCUGGAGCCAGUGAGACCCCGAGCCCACCGGGAGGACCGAAGAACUUCAGAUGCGCCGCGUUAAGAGCUGUAACACUCACCGCGAAGGUCUGCAGCUUCACUCCUGAGCCAGCGAGACCACGAACCCACCAGAAGGAAGAAACUCGGAACACAUCCGAAUAUCAGUAGGAACAAACUCCGGACACGCCGCUUUUAAGAACUGUAACACUCACCUCGAGGGUCCGCGGCUUCAUUCUUGAAGUCAGGGAGACCAAGAACCCCCCAAUUCCGGACACAGGGGGACUUGGCUGCUUCCUGUUUCUAUCAUAGACGCAGCUGGCCUCAGAAUAUUCCACUUAUGGAUGAAAGAAUGAUAGUGUUAUUUUAUGGAAGAAUUUAAGAAGAUGUUGCGGUAUCAUCGACUUUAUUUUUUGUUCAUUCUGAAAAUCACAUCGCCAGAUCCAACACCUUUUUAUCCCAAUCACCAGUACAAGCCACCCGUAUCAGUGUACACUGUGGCUGACCGAUCCAUAGUGAUGCUUUGAGCACAAGGAAGGACUUUCUGGAAUCUACUUAUCUGACCAAGAAAGCUUCUUUCCAAAAGAAAUGCAAUUGUCUUGAGACUUCUUCCCUAGGGAUCUGAUCAACUAACCAGAAAAGAGCAACCACCAGAGAAGAGACUGUGGGUGUCAUUGUGACUGGCUGCUACCUCCCCAUGAGUCUUCUAAAAUAAAACCUGCAAAUUCACAUCUUCCCCAUGCUUCCAGAGAAUGCAUAUUCUUCCUUUGAAAAAAGAAAACCAGAUUGAAGCCACAAAAUCCACAGCACACAAAGACCCUGCUACCAUGUAUUCACUUCAG